rnacentral:rRNA from 1 species
GACGAACGCUGGCGGCGUGCUUAACACAUGCAAGUCGAACGGAAAGGCCCUGCUUUUGUGGGGUGCUCGAGUGGCGAACGGGUGAGUAACACGUGAGUAACCUGCCCUUGACUUUGGGAUAACUUCAGGAAACUGGGGCUAAUACCGGAUAGGAGCUCCUGCUGCAUGGUGGGGGUUGGAAAGUUUCGGCGGUUGGGGAUGGACUCGCGGCUUAUCAGCUUGUUGGUGGGGUAGUGGCUUACCAAGGCUUUGACGGGUAGCCGGCCUGAGAGGGUGACCGGCCACAUUGGGACUGAGAUACGGCCCAGACUCCUACGGGAGGCAGCAGUGGGGAAUAUUGCACAAUGGGCGGAAGCCUGAUGCAGCAACGCCGCGUGCGGGUUGACGGCCUUCGGGUUGUAAACCGCUUUCGCCUGUGACGAAGCGUGAGUGACGGUAAUGGGUAAAGAAGCACCGGCUAACUACGU